rnacentral:rRNA from 1 species
UACGUAGGCAGCGAGCGUUUGUUCGGAGUUACUGGGCGUAAAGGGUGUGUAGGCGGUUGUUUAAGUUUGGUGUGAAAUCUCCCGGCUCAACUGGGAGGGUGCGCCGAAUACUGAAUGACUAGAGUGCGGGAGAGGAAAGUGGAAUUCCUGGUGUAGCGGUGAAAUGCGUAGAUAUCAGGAGGAACACCGGUGGUGUAGACGGCUUUCUGGACCGUAACUGACGCUGAGACACGAAAGCGUGGGUAGCAAACAGG